CAUAUUUAAAAGCCUCAUGUAGAAUUAACACAUAAAUCAUCAAAUUUAUAACAAAUGAAGAGAGACAGCAGACUCACCAUGUGCAUAUGUUGAUCACACUUCUUCCAAUGACUUCUUGAACCAAAAAUUAUUUAUAAAAGUCAUUUCAUUUUUUUCAAAAUAAAAGUUUUGUGAGGCAGCAACACCAAUGACAUGAUAUGGGGUGACCACUAUUACCGUUAUAUUAUUUAUAAUAUUUAAUUUGUAUUUCAGCUUUUUAAGUUCUCCAUUCCAUGAAUGUGACAUUUGUGUUUACUUUAUGACAUUUAAAUUGGAGAAAAAUAAAAAAUUUUAACUGAAAAUAUGGCACUAAACUUCGAUACAUGGUCUGAGUGACAAGCAAAUUGCUUGUGUAAGGGGGUUCUCCUCUGUAACAAGUGCUUCAAUAUUAACACCGUUACUAGAAUGGAUAAAAUCAGGUAAGUAUGGACCAGAUCAGAAGACAAGAGAUUCGACUCGCGAGAGAGAGGCGGUUUGCACAUCAAGAAUGAAGCACACGGAAGCAGGAUCUAUAUUUCAAAGGUCGAUCACAUGGGUGGCUCGCCAGUCCGCGCGCCGCUGUAGCUCUCCAGGGAAGGCAAGCAGGGCGGACGAAUCCAGGAUCCAGCACAGCAGUUCAAAUCCAACAA